AUUGAACGCUGGCGGCAGGCCUAACACAUGCAAGUCGAACGGUAACAGGAAGAAGCUUGCUUCUUUGCUGACGAGUGGCGGACGGGUGAGUAAUGUCUGGGAAACUGCCUGAUGGAGGGGGAUAACUACUGGAAACGGUAGCUAAUACCGCAUAACGUCGCAAGACCAAAGAGGGGGACCUUCGGGCCUCUUGCCAUCGGAUGUGCCCAGAUGGGAUUAGCUAGUAGGUGGGGUAACGGCUCACCUAGGCGACGAUCCCUAGCUGGUCUGAGAGGAUGACAACCCACACUGGAAGUGGGACGCGGUCCAGACUCCUACGGGAGGCAGCAGUGGGGAAUAUUGCACAAUGGGCGCGAGCCUGAUGCAGCCAUGACACGUGUAUGAAGAAGGCCUUGGGGUUGUAAAGUACUUUCAGCGGGGAGGAAGGGAGUAAAGUUAAUACCUUUGCUCAUUGACGUUAACCGCAAAAGAAGCACCGGCUAACUACGUG
rnacentral:rRNA from 1 species